GGAUGCGAUCAUACCAGCACUAAAGCACCGGAUCCCAUCAGAACUCCGAAGUUAAGCGUGCUUGGGCGAGAGUAGUACUAGGAUGGGUGACCUCCUGGGAAGUCCUCGUGUUGCAUUCCUUUUUUUUGUUUGUUUUUUCAAAAGAAAGGUCUUUCUUUUUAUUUUUGGCCGUUCCUUUGUCAUAUUUUCUCCGCGUUCCUAGGCGGCGCCGUCGAAGGAGCUAUGGGCAGGCCGUACACGGAGGCGCGGGCAUAAAGGGGAGGAGAACGCACGGUAUGUCGGAUGCGAUCAUACCAGCACUAAAGCACCGGAUCCCAUCAGAACUCCGAAGUUAAGCGUGCUUGGGCGAGAGUAGUACUAGGAUGGGUGACCUCCUGGAAAGUCCUCGUGUUGCAUUCCUUUUUUUUGUUUGUUUUUUCAAAAGAAAGGUCUUUCUUUUUAUUUUUGGCCGUUCCUUUGUCAUAUUUUCUCCGCGUUCCUAGGCGGCGCCGUCGAAGGAGCUAUGGGCGGGCCGUACACGGAGGCGCGGGCAUAAAGGGGAGGAGAACGCACGGUAUGUCGGAUGCGAUCAUACCAGCACUAAAGCACCGGAUCCCAUCAGAACUCCGAAGUUAAGCGUGCUUGGGCGAGAGUAGUACUAGGAUGGGUGACCUCCUGGGAAGUCCUCGUGUUGCAUUCCUUUUAUUUGUUUGUUUUUUCAAAAGAAAGGUCUUUCUUUUUAUUUUUGGCCGUUCCUUUGUCAUAUUUUCUCCGCGUUCCUAGGCGGCGCCGUCGAAGGAGCUAUGGGCGGGCCGUACACGGAGGCGCGGGCAUAAAGGGGAGGAGAACGCACGGUAUGUCGGAUGCGAUCAUACCAGCACUAAAGCACCGGAUCCCAUCAGAACUCCGAAGUUAAGCGUGCUUGGGCGAGAGUAGUACUAGGAUGGGUGACCUCCUGGGAAGUCCUCGUGUUGCAUUCCUUUUUUUUGUUUGUUUUUUCAAAAGAAAGGUCUUUCUUUUUAUUUUUGGCCGUUCCUUUGUCAUAUUUUCUCCGCGUUCCUAGGCGGCGCCGUCGAAGGAGCUAUGGGCGGGCCGUACACGGAGGCGUUUGUUUUUUCAAAAGAAAGGUCUUUCUUUUUAUUUUUGGCCGUUCCUUUGUCAUAUUUUCUCCGCGUUCCUAGGCGGCGCCGUCUAAGGAGCUAUGGGCGGGCCGUACACUGAGGCGCGUUGCAUAAAUGGGAGGAGAACGCACGGUAUGUCGGAUGCGAUCAUACCAGCACUAAAGCACCGGAUCCCAUCAGAACUCCGAAGUUAAGCGUGCUUGGGCGAGAGUAGUACUAGGAUGGGUGACCUCCUGGGAAGUCCUCGUGUUGCAUUCCUUUUAUUUGUUUGUUUUUUCAAAAGAAAGGUCUUUCUUUUUAUUUUUGGCCGUUCCUUUGUCAUAUUUUCUCCGCGUUCCUAGGCGGCGCCGUCGAAGGAGCUAUGGGCGGGCCGUACACUGAGGCGCGUGCUUAAAGGGGAGGAGAACGCACGGUCUGUC
rnacentral:lncRNA from 1 species